rnacentral:rRNA from 1 species
UACGAAGGGGGCAAGCGUUGUUCGGAAUUACUGGGCGUAAAGGGCGCGUAGGCGGCCGCCUUUGUCAGGUGUGAAAGCCCCAGGCUCAACCUGGGAAUUGCACUUGGGACGGGGUGGCUUGAGUUCGGGAGAGGAGAGUGGAAUUCCCAGUGUAGAGGUGAAAUUCGUAGAUAUCAGGAAGAACACCUAUGGCGAAGGCAGCUCUCUGGGACGGUACUGACGCUGAGACGCGAAAGCGUGGGGAGCAAACAGG